UCGAACUUCCCCUGACAGGCCAAGAUUUAAACCGUGUUGGGGUACUAUUGAAGACAUUUGGAACGUGGCUGUGAAGUUUCCUUAAAACCAUUUACAAGAUGAACACUUACGUCCUGCUUGCGAUGUGUUUCUCUCUCGCUUUGGCUGCACCGCCCCCUAUAAAGUCGCUGAGAACAAAAAGGGCUGUCCCCAAUCAAGAAGAAUUCUGC